rnacentral:rRNA from 1 species
UACGGAGGGUGCAAACGUUGCUCGGAAUCAUUGGGCGUAAAGCGCACGUAGGCGGCCCGGUAAGUCGGAUGUGAAAGCCCUCGGCUCAACUGAGGAAGUGCAUUCGAAACUGCCAGGCUUGAAUAUGGAAGAGGGUCGCGGAAUUCCCGGUGUAGAGGUGAAAUUCGUAAAUAUCAGGUGGAACACCAGUGGCGAAGGCGGCUUUCUGGACGGUAACUGACGCUGAGACGCGAAAGCGUGGGGAGCAAACAGG